rnacentral:rRNA from 1 species
GAUCCUGGCUCGAGGAUGAACGCUAGCGGCAGGCCUAAUACAUGCAAGUCGAACGCUCAGUAGCAAUACUGGGAGUGGCGCGACGGGUGCGUAACGCGUACACAAUCUACCUCUAAGGCGGGGACACCUCCUAGGAAACGGGGAUUAAUACCGCAUAAUAUGCCGAGGUCGCAUGACUUUGGUAUUAAAGCAGCAAUGCACUUAGAGAUGAGUGUGCGUCCCAUUAGGUAGUUGGUGAGGUGACGGCUCACCAAGCCUAUGAUGGGUAGCCGGUCUGAGAGGAUGGUCGGCCACACGGGCACUGAGACACGGGCCCGACUCCUACGGGAGGCAGCAGUAAGGAAUAUUGGUCAAUGGUGGAAACACUGAACCAGCCAUGCCGCGUGGAGGAAUAAGGUACUACGGAUUGUAAACUCCUUUUGACGAGGAAGAAAGUGUUAGAUUUAUCUAAUUUUGACGGUACUCGUAGAAUAAGCACCGGCUAACUCCGUG